AGAUGAAAAUCAUAUGAAGACACAGCAUCAUGUCAGGCAAUAGAGACAAAAGCAUCAACCUUUCGGGAUCAUUUGAUGGAUUAAACAGGAAAACCAAGCUAGUUGUCAUGUCAAAAAACUACUUAGACAGACUAUGAAGAGAUACAUAGGGUGAGAAACGGAGGCCUUCAGCCAACAGCUGGGAGAAGCUGAGUCCCAUCAGCCAUUCAAAAGACUGCAGCCCCAGCCAAGAGUUUGAUGUAACCUCAGGAGAGACCCUGAGCCAGAACCACCUAGGUUCACACCAUUCUCCUGAAAAUGGCUAUUUCUGAAAAACACAUAAGGAAGGUGAAUUGCUGAGAGAAGAACUAGAAUGAAGAAUAAGAGCAGUGGGGAGGUGUAUAGUAAGUGGUGCAAUUAAUAAUCUCCAAGUGAGAAGACCUUACUUGUCUUCUGAAAGUCUGGCCAACGAGCUAUACCUAGUGAUUCCAAAGUCCACAUAUAUUUACUCUGUUCUCACUGUACAAAGUAACCACUCUGAAGUCAAGAGAAAAGCUGGGAUACAUGAAGACUGCCAUCCCUUGAGUCACUUGCCCUGUAGCUGCCACUGUUGGAAAAGGGCUUGCUUCUGUGUCCUUGUGCCCACUUUGAAAAUCCCUGGGAAGUCCUUGGAGUCAGAUGAGCAGGCCUCCGCCACUCUGCCAAAAAGUCUGUUCAGUCAGGAGUCCCCAACCCCUGAGCCAUGGACUGAUAUGGAGCUAUGGUCUGUUAGGAACUGGGCUGCCCAGGAGGAGGAAUGGUGCUUCUACAAUUUCCUUAUAGGAGGAGUGAAGAGUAAGCAUUUGGAUUGGACCAGGAUUUGGAGAACUUGUCAUGUUGCUCUACGUGCAUAUGAAAUACAUCAUUGUAACUUAGAAUGUGAAUUACAGAACAAACAUGAAAGUUAGAAAAAUAUUCUAAACAUAUUUUUAUGAUAAAAUAUGGGAGACCUCAAUCAGCUGAAGUUCAACAUGUUCAAAGGUGGACAAAGUUUCUCGUUGCUCUAAGUAAGUUUAAAAUUGAGCCAAAAAGGUCUUGAUUGAUAAGGGUGGCUGAUACAUUUUUGAAUGUUUUCACUGGCAUGAUUCACAAAAUUGUAUAAAUUGUAUAGUCCCAGGCUAUCCCACCAUUAACUGCCUCAUGGGGACUGUCUCUAACUUCCCCAGGACUUGAUCCAUAGGGAAAUGCUUGCAAGAAUAAAAAGCAUUAAUGAAUAAGUUUCACAUCACUAGAGAAGAGAGAAGAAGGACAUUUGUACUGGGAGGAGUCGACCGGUCCCAGUAAGGAGAAAGUAGCUACAGCGUCAUGGGUGAGCUGGGUCCCCCAAAAAGGAACUUUAAGGGAAUGGACUGAAUCAAGUCUGAGAUGUCCCCAAAGCAAGACCAAAGAACUGAGGAAGAGAAGCAUUCAUCAGAAACCAAAAUUCAGCUACAAGUGAGCAUCCAGAUGGAGGUAUUAUGAAGAGGAACUGAGACUGAGGGCAAAAGGUGCCAGCCAGAAUCCUGGAUAGGAGAGCAAGAACCAGGACCUCAUUUAAGAGACAACCUGCUUAAGGCAGAGUAAGGACAAAUGGGCACUCAACAUCAAUGAAGUAACAGCAAAGUCACAUAAUAAAAGCAUGGAAUUAAGACAAGCUGAAGAUUCGGAUGCAAUAAAACAACCACCCAUUAUUAUGUAUUUUUCCUCUGGAAAUGAGCUGACUAGGCACGCUACUUCUACUUGAAAAAGACUGAUGCUUGUCUUACACCAUUUUGAGGUCACCACAGUACAUGACUCAGAAUCAUUAGACAAAUGUUGAUUGAAUAUCUCCUACAUUCCAAAUACUGUGUUGAAUGUGGUUAAAGCAUUAAAUGUUAAUGGAAUAUUUGAUGAACACCUGUUUUCGAAGUCCUGAAUCUGUAGUCAUAAGAUUCAGCCCUGUUUCCUUCCAAAUCUUGACUUCAUAUUCAAACUAGAGAAUAAAAAUUUAAAAACAGGCCCUUGUGCCUAGGAUGUAGAAAAAUUACUAAUUGUUUUCCUAUGUCCCACGUAAAAUACCAAACAGUUUUUAACCAUUAUGAAAAUGUAUCGUAAGACAGCUUCAAAAUAAAGUAUUUUCAUGUAAGUUUAAAU
rnacentral:lncRNA from 1 species